rnacentral:rRNA from 1 species
UACGGAGGGGGCUAGCGUUGUUCGGAAUUACUGGGCGUAAAGCGCACGUAGGCGGCUUUGUAAGUUAGAGGUGAAAGCCCGUGGCUCAACUUCGGAAUUGCCUUUAAGACUGCAUCGCUAGAAUUGUGGAGAGGUAAGUGGAAUUCCGAGUGUAGAGGUGAAAUUCGUAGAUAUUCGGAAGAACACCAGUGGCGAAGGCGACUUACUGGACACAUAUUGACGCUGAGGUGCGAAAGCGUGGGGAGCAAACAGG